rnacentral:rRNA from 1 species
UCGAAGGAGCAUAAUGAGAGUACUUCAGGAAUAAGGGGCGGCUAAUUACGUGCCAGCAGCCGCGGUAAUACGUAAGCCCCAAGCAUUGCCCGGAAUUACUGGGUGUAAAGGGUUCGUAGGCGGUAGAAUAAGUUGGAUAUGAAAGACCGGAGCUCAACUCCGUGUUUGUGUUCAAAACUGUUUUACUAGAGUUAGGGAGAGGUAAGCGGAAUUCUGAGUGUAGGGGUGCAAUCCGUAGAUACUCAGAGGAACACCAAAAGCGAAGGCAGCUUACUGGAACUAUAUUGACGCUGAUGAACGAAAGCGUGGGUAGCGAAAAGGAUUAGAUACCCUUGUAGUCCACGCCCUAAACGAUGAUAACUAAGUGUUGGGAUUUGUCCCAGUGCUGUAGCUAACGCGUUAAGUUAUCCACCUGAGGAGUACAGUCGCAAGAUUAAAACUCAAAGGAAUAGACGGGGACCCACACAAGCAGUGGAUCACGUGGUUUAAUUCGACAAUAAACGGGGAACCUUACCCAGACUUGACAUCCUAGGAAUUCUUUAGAGAUAGAGAAGUGCUUUUAUUAGAACCUAGAGACAGGUGCUGCAUGGUUGUCGUCAGCUCGUGCCUUGAGGUGUUCGGUUAAGUCCGUUAACGAGCGCAACCCAUGUCAUUAGUUAUUAUGUCUAAUGAGACUGCCUUGGUUAACAAGGAGGAAGGUGUGGAUGACGUCAAAUCAGCAUGGCUUUUACGUCUGGGGCUACACACAUGAUACAAUGGUACGUACAAAGAGUAGCAAUAUAGUAAUAUGGAGCUAAUCUUCAAAGCGUAUCUCAGUCCGGAUUGAGGUCUGAAACUCGACCUCAUGAAGUUGGAAUUGCUAGUAAUCGUGAAUCAGAUAUGUCACGGUGAAUAUGUUCCUGGGUCUUGCACACACCGCCCGUC